CUGGCUGUCCUGGAACUCACUCUGUAGACCAGGCUGGCCUUGAACUUAGAAAUCCGCCUGCCUCUGCCUCCCAAGUGCUGGGAUUAAAGGCAUGCGAGUGUACACCGAGUCACUGCUUCAAAUGUGUUCAGGAAAGUCACUGGUCCUGGCCUUCUCUAACCCCUGAAGGCUCUUCUGGCCAUGUCCAAAGUGUGUGCUAUCUCUAGAGCUGGCCCUAUUACUACUGCCAUGUAGUGACUUGGGUGAGGGAGAGAUGCUUGUGGUAGGCAGAAAAGCUGGCCUGGAGGUCAUGAGAGUGGGAGAGCUGGCCCUGCCCCUCACCUACUGCAGCACUUGGGAGAGCAGGCCCUGCUCCUUUCCUGGGCAGCAUGGCAGAGCUUUUCCCUGGUCAUGUGGUAUUGGAUGGACUGGCUAGAGGUCAGGAGAGCAGGAGAGCUGGCCCUACCCCUCGCUGGCGGCAGCAUUGGGUGGGUUAGGUGGGGCAGUGCUGGAGAACACGUGCUUACUCACGGUGUGGGUGUGGGAGAGCUGGAGGGCUGACCAACUCAGCUCCCACUCAGACUCAGAUCCAGGGCUAUGAGUUGGCCCACCCCAUCAACUAUGCCAUGAACUGCUGGGCCAGUCCUGCAGAUCCAAAGCUGCAGGAUCUCCAUGACACAGGGCAACAACAGAGCAUCUGAGAGGAAUCCCAGUGAGGAUACAGUAUUGAUAGUGUAGCAGAAGCCUUGGAACCAGACCAAUGACUCACUGUAGUGAACAUUUGCAAGUAAAUAUGUGUGGGCAAAAGGGAAUACUGUGGGACACACUAUAGCAUACACACACACACAAACACACACACACACACACAUAUAUAUGUGUGUAUACACACACACACACAUAUGAGGCUGCAAGGGCAGAGGACAGAUACAAAGGGAUGGGGGAGAUAAGAGGGAUUAGGAUGCAUGAUGUGAAAUUCACAAAGAAUUAAUAAAAAGUUAAAAAAAAUAGGAACAUUGGCUGUUGACUCCUGUCUGCUUCCCUUCCCCACAGAGCGGGGACAUCAGACCCAGGUCACCCUCCAGCAGACUUCUGAGGCAAUGAAUGAACGAAGGGGAUUGGACUGCUUUGGCCUGGGCUCUGUCAUCUCUGACAGGGAGCCCUGAGUAGUCAUUACAAUAUCCGGAUGGCCCAUCUCCUUUCUCCUGGACACCAGGACCACUAACUUGAUCUUGUCAAAGUUUUGGGGACCUACCUCUCCUCAUUUUCCUAUUGUCAGGGUAUGGGCACAACCUUACCUGGUGCUCAAGAGCCUGAGAACCAGAUGGCCUGAGCCUUCCUGCAGACCCAGGGACCCACGAGACAGCUCUGGCUGACCCCAAGACCUCAGACUGUGCUCCCCCACCCCUGGAGCAGUGUCCCGCGGCUUCCUCAUAGCCCGAUACUUGCCAGGCACCUGCAUGAGGGCCCAAGCUUCUGAGACAGAAGGAGGGAUCUGAGCCACAUCCACUGGUGUCCUGUGAAGAAAAUGCCCGGUUGAGUACAGUGUGGCUAUCAUUUGGUCACCCUGUCACUCAUUUCCCCCCCCACCCCCCGACUGUACAGCUCAGAAAGAAAACACCAGGUGACCUCCUUUAAGAGUAAAACUCUCAUCUUCCUUAUCUCUGUCUCUGUCUAUUUAUAAGGGAAUCUAGUGGCUUAGCCUUGGCAGUCAGUCUCAGGAAUGAGGAAAUGGCCAAAUAAGGGAGACAAAAGUAGGGAGGAAGGACAGGGGACAUGGUGGUGCCAUGUUCUCCAUGUUUGAGCCUGUCAGAGCUCUCCUCCCUCUCUCUCAUGAGCGCACACAUCUCUCACACAGCACACUUGGACCUGGACAGGGGAAGCACACUUCAAAUAUUGACACCACAAAAUAAUGGCAACCAGGCUAGAGAAUGGAGGGACCUUUUUAUCCCAUUUCGUCUCCACUCAGAAUCUAGUGGAGAAAAAAAAUGAACCAUUUGCUCCAGCAGCAGACCCUAAAGUCCAGGAACAGGACAAUAAAAUUACCCACUAGAGGAACAGCUUAAAGAUAGUCACAUGACUAGGAGACAUCUUAUCUCAGGAUAGGCCAUCUGCUGGGCAGCCCAUUCUGCGGUUAAUCAUUCAGGAUGCAGAAAUGCAACCCACGAGAGGCAUCCCAGCACCUUUUAAUACAGUCUUAGAUUACCUAAGUCUAACAAUAAAAUAAUAAACCGUCUACCCAUUGUAAGUGUAGGGUACUUUGCUUCUGUAGUUGAUCUGCCUGUCUGAGUUGUUCCUGGGGCUAGAAGCUGCAGUCUCUGGUUUAGCACCUCAUAGUAAAACAGUGGG
rnacentral:lncRNA from 1 species